UAAAGGCACGGCGGCGGCGGCGGCGGCGGCACGGCAGGUGACAGCAAGGUGUAAAACUGUCAAGCACAGCUGGGAUGUACUCUGUGCACCUGAAGAUGGGAUUCCCUGCUUAGAGGGUGGUUCUCACAGUUGCCACUGCACCCUGCCAGCUUCUUCAGCUGUUCCCAGGUACCCCUGCAACGUUGGCAGCUUCCAAAGCUGCUCUGCUCUGAGCUGCCUGUGUGGUAUCUGUCGGCUGGCAUGUCGUGUGGAGGAGGCAUCUUGGAGACGGGAAGGGAGAUGACCUAUGAUUGAUUGCAGCUGGGUUCUGCACAGCAGCGAUCUGCUGAACGAGGAGCCUGC
rnacentral:lncRNA from 1 species